CAUCCUACGGGGGGCAGCAGUCGGGAAUAUUGCACAAUGGAGGAAACUCUGAUGCAGUGACACCGCGUAUAGGAAGAAGGUUUUCGGAUUGUAAACUAUUUUAGACAGGGAAGAAAAAAGACAGUACCUGUAGAAUAAGCUCCGGCUAACUACGUGCCAGCAGCCGCGGUAAUACGGAGGAUGCGAGCGUUAUCCGGAUUUAUUGGGUUUAAAGGGUGCGCAGGCGGCACGGCAAGCCGGCGGUCAAAUCGCGGGGCUCAACCCCGCCCAGCCGUCGGAACUGCCGGGCUAGAGUGGGCGAGAAG
rnacentral:rRNA from 1 species